rnacentral:sRNA from 1 species
UCCUGGCCUGGAUACGAGGACAAGGGCCAGGAUUCGACAUUGAACAACAUUAGGAGGGCACAGGGAAUUGAAGAUAUGAGUAGAGAUUCGAUGGUAGGCACCCACACAAGGAUUCACGCAGCGAUUGUCCUUGCACUGCAGAUCGCCGCGACAGUCGACGUUGUCUAGGCACUCGCCUCUGUUGCAAUGGGUGAGCGGAUUGCCACUGAAUCCCGGUGGGCAGGAGCAGACUGGUCGUCCGCCGGCUGCCUCCUGGCAGACGGCGUUCACCCCGCAAGGAUUCCCGCUGCAUCCGUAGGACUGGGCGGCUGUUAGGGAAGAAGGACAUAAAGGAUACUCUACAGGUGAUGCAUGGUGCAAGGAUCUAAGCUACGCGUGACGUGACGUGUGACGUGAUACGAGACACUUUCAUUUACGUGGUGGUUUUGGGUGGUUAAGCUGUAACUACUAUAACUAUCUACCAGCGGUUAGGCGUGUUGGUGGCGGUGGCCGGGUCCGGGUGUGGGCGGACUCAGCCCCUCCACUUGCAAGAAAUAAACCGUAUACUUCUGUAUGUGCAUCAGUGCGGUGUUACGUAUAAU